AUACGUAGGGGGCGAGCGUUGUCCGGAAUGAUUGGGCGUAAAGGGCGCGUAGGCGACCCGGUAAGUCUGGAGUGAAAGUCCUGUUUUUAAGAUGGGAAUUGCUUUGGAUACUGUCGGGCUUGAGUGCAGGAGAGGUAAGUGGAAUUCCCAGUGUAGCGGUGAAAUGCGUAGAGAUUGGGAGGAACACCAGUGGCGAAGGCGACUUACUGGACUGUAACUGACGCUGAGGCGCGAAAGUGUGGGGAGCAAACAGGAUUAGAUACCCUGGUAGUCCACGCCGUAAACGAUGGGCGCUCGUCGUCGGCGGCAGACAGUCGGCGGCCAAGCGAAAGCGAUAAGCGCCCCACCUGGGGAGUACGGUCGCAAGGCUGAAACUCAAAGGAAUUGGCGGGG
rnacentral:rRNA from 1 species